rnacentral:lncRNA from 1 species
GGUGAAGACAGUUUUUACAAAGCAAUUUUUUUAAUAAAAGAAAGCAACUUAAUUUAUUAGAUUAUCUUUAUAAUCUACAGAGUGAACUUCUAAAUAAAAAGCAAAACAUUUGAAUAAUUAUUAGAUGGGUAAAUGUUUUAUUGAGACAGCAGAAUUGAACAGGGAACAAUGAAAUAUAAAGAACUGAAGUUUUUCUUUUAUUGUCCCUUCCAAACUGUGCUUCUGAACUUACACUUCUCCUGCCCCCAAAUGAAAUAUAGGGUGGGUCUCCUAGGUCUUCUCAUCUGUGUCAAUGACAAGAAAAUUUAUAUUAUAAAAGUGUCUGGUCUAAUCUAGUAUGCAAGACUAUCUCUAGUAUAGUUCAUUCAUUAUAAAGCCUACUGUACUCAGUCACCACCCCUCUCUUACAAGCCUACUUUAAAUUGGAAAGCCUGUCUCGCUUGUUUCGGUGUGGUGAGUGAAAUGGAGAAGGCUAAACUUUUUCUUCCCACAUGCUCACUUCCUUGCUUGUUCGCUAGCUGCUGCAUCUGGCCCCUCAAGGGUAAAGUCAAGGGGAAAAGGAGAUUGAGAGGAAGGACAGUCUGUGAAUUGUGCGAGGGAUAUUUCUGCUGACAAUUCAACAUUCAAAGGGAUGAGUGUAUGACGUCUCUAAGAGAUGUCAUGGAGUGCAUGUAGAAGGGACUUUUUAUGGAGAACUACUUCUCAAAUCACUAUUCACAUCCUGGUAGAAGUCAAGCAAUGAAGAUGGCACAGAAACACAUCCCAAAUACUAUGAUACCAUAAAGUAUACUGUAGCAAUGCAUUGGCACACCCUCAUUUGAACAUUUGUCUCAGAAGAUUUUGACAGAAGAUAAAAUUGUCUGGUUUUUAUUUCAUUGGUUUCAUGAAAAUUUAUUUCACUGGUUUCAUGUCACAGGCCCAUGACUGUAUAAAGAGUCAUAAUCUUUACAAACACAACAAUGACUCACAGCGACAUGUUGCAAAGCUGUAAUCGAAAACACUGAUGUUGAUUUCAGAGGCCAUUAAUGGUGUUAAGAAGGCGCUUUUGUUAACCAAAUAAUUGAAUACUCGUAAUUACUUUUCAGUUCUAGUUCAGUUCUUGACACCAAAACAAGCCAUUUUCUUUACAUAGUGAAUGCAGAACUUGCCAGUAAGAACUUUCAUACUAAACUUCUAUGUAAAACAAAACAUGUCAAAAUCAGUAACUACUUUAAUGGAAUGGUAAAGAAUUUACUUAAACACAAAGGAAUGAAAAUAUCUCUGCAAAUAUGUCUAUUGACUUUUCAAAUUUGGUGACUUCUUUCGAAUUAAUUCCCUUACGUCUGUUCCUCAUCCACAUAAAAAUGACAAAAAUGAAAGAUAAUUUUCCAGCCUAUAAUUAAAUUUCUCCAUUGUUGGUAUAUGUUUUUUCAAAUACAUUUUUCAGUUUUCAUAAUUCAUAUGAGAAUUAUUAAAAGGGAGUUAGUUGCCUUUAGGACCUUAUUUGGAGCCUAAUUCUUAAAAAUUGUGUAAAAAUAAUUGUGACUUUUAAGAGACAAUUGGAAAUUUGAACCUGACCACAUUUUUGUGAUAUUAAGGAAUUUUAUUAAUUAUUUUCUAGGUGGGGGAAUGAUAUGAUGAUAUUCUUAAAAUAAUGUGUGGAUUGUUUAUUACAUUUCAACAUUUUCUUAAUCAUCAAACAUUUGUUGACCUUCUGCUGUAUCUAGAGCUCUGUGAUCGGGAUGAAGUAUGAGAUAUUAAGCCAUUACCAGGUGGUAGUUACUCUACCUCUGUUUGAAGUUCAUGCCCAGCCCAUUUGUUGCUUUAAAUUUGAGUUCAUUCUUGAGCAUGUGCCACCAAAUUCCAAGCAUUUUCAAAUGGUGAAUUACUUCUUACAAACUCAACGGAGUGUAUGUUAGCCGAUCUGAAGUAACCCACUUGAAGUGAUGCGCUGUGUCAACCUUAAUAUCACCAUCAAAUGAUCCCUAGGGAAUGCAACAUUUGGCUUAUUUCAUUUUUAACAUGUGAAUUUAGUUUAUAUCAAAGUAAUAUAAUACACAUAGUUUAAAAAAAUCAUAUAGUAUGACAACAACUUGAAAGAAAAGCAACAGAUCCUUGCAGGUUGCUCUUCUUCCUCCCCAAGUACCUGAGCAUCUGUCAUUGUCCUCCAGCAUAAGGCCGUCAGGAGCACACCUAUAAUUGAAUAAGCAGGACUCACUACCCAUUUCAGUGAGGGAAAACUCACACCACAGAGAAUCCUGGGGUGUCUCAGGUGAAGGAUGUUAAAAGGGACUUAUAACAGGAUUUGGGCUUUGGUUGGGUGACUCGACGGAAGUUUCCCGCUCUGAAUUGGAUGCUCUCUAAAAGUGGUUAUAAUCUGUGAUUGGGUAUCUCGAUAAGUCUUAUCCUUAGAGAGGGCAGACUAGAGUAAUGCUAAAGAUGCAAUUGUUAAGAAGCAGUCCUCAUUCGUAUUAGCUGAGAGAGGGGAAUGUUUCGUAUUUUGUGGCUUGAACAAUGCUCAUGUGUUUAGACAUGAUUGUAGAGUGAUUUUCAAUUUGUUUUGAUCCAUCAUAGUGCUGAUGUCAUGUUAAUUUUUUUUUUAAUGUUCAACAGAAUACUAACACCUAGCUGUGAGUACCAGGACAGCUGGUAGCAACCCCAAGGCUUUGCUGGUAGUGCCAGGCUAGCUCCUGGAAGUCAGAAGUUGCUUUGUUCUUUCCCAUGUCUUUUCCCAGAGGCAAUCACAUUAAACCUUUUAGAAGUUUCUUCUGGCACUUACCUCCAGAUUCCUAAUAGUUUUUCUUUGUUUUUAAAUGUUUGAUUUAUUUUUAAAUAUUUGACUUCCUGCUAUAGAAAUAAGACUUUUUGCUCUCUUGUAUCCACCCUGCUAUACACAUUUGCUAUGUACAUACCUCCUAUACUCGUCCUAAUAAUACACAUG